AUGAAGAAUUAAGGCUGCGAGAAAGGAAGACAAUGUGGCUUCCAAAUCGAAAAAAUAAAACAAGCUUUCCAUUCAAUUUAUAGAGACUCUCCUGCCCACCCUACACACCAGCUCACAUUGUACAAGUCAUGCACUACUGAGAACAGUAAAUACCUCACAUUAGCUGUAUGGGAAAGUGCGGAAGAACGUCGAGGAGAUAGGCGAUGGAAGCUAGCCAGACCCUUCCGUGGGAAAAGGAGCAUCAGCAGGGCAUGUUGACCCAUAGUCACGUGGUUCAGCCUGUGCCAGGGUGGCGCUGCACCUGGGCUUUGAAUCGGGAAUAACAGUGAGCUCAACAUGCUUACUGCGCAUGUGUAUGGUACAUAAAAACUUCAUCUAGUGCCCCCCCACAGUGUUCCUCACCCUGGACCGACGCUCAGCGGUGCCAGGGAUCCCCCGCUCCAUUAUUGCCUCGAUCGGGAAAACGCCGGGGAACCCCCACCCAGAUGCAGAGCGUUUGACCAAAAAAAGUAGCCAGUGGCAAUGGACUAAAGAGCAGCAGCAAGCCUUUGACCUGUGCGAGGAGGCGGUGGUCCAACAUUCCAAACUAGUCACUCCGCAUGAGGGACAACCUUUCGAGAUGGAGGUAAUGGUUAUGGGGGAUACGGUGUCUUGGGGGUUGUGGCAGGAAUGUGCCCAUGCAAGGCAGGAACCUGUAGGUUUCUGGUCCUGUUCCCUGCAAGGGGCCACAGCAAACUGCACACCUCUGGAGAAACAGCUUUUGGCUGUAGUGUGGGCUUUGCAGGAUACCGAAGGAGUUACAGGACGUGACCCGGUGACUGUACACACCCCCAUCACCAUUCAGGCAUGGGUGAUGGAUGAUACAGUCAGGGCCCAUGUAGGGGUGGCCCAAGCUGCAACGCAGUGGAAAUGGAAACACUGUCUACGAGCCCGGUUUAAGGGAGGAGAAAGAACAUGAGUACCCCACAUGCCUUGGGGUACCUUAACCUUGUUAAGGGAAGUACGUUUUGAGCAAAUGCCUCUAUUGUCUGAGCCAGAGGGGCCGCCCCCGCCUUGCUCCCCCAAUAGAGCCAUUGCCUGUCCAAGAGGCCCCUCCUUUUGGGACGUUAUCUCCUGAGCGAGUACAAGCCAAACUGACCCUAGCAAUCCCUGCUCGGAUAUCUGUAAUGGAAGGGGGGAUUGCCCCCCCCCCCCCCCCCCCCCGCAUACUUGCCUCUGGGGAGGUAGAAUUCUAUACAUCUGAGCAACUUAGGAUUACUGAACGAAGAGUUAUAAGCUUACAUUUAAGACUGGACUGCCCUUCACAGUGUGUAUGGCUGUUUACACCUUUGAUACCUGCUAAAAUAGCCCCACUCUUAUUGACCUCUUCUCAAGAUUUAUCUUUCCAGGUAUCCGUAUCCACGCCAGUGAAUGUCUCACAGGGAGCACCAAUACUGCGAGGAAUCCUGAUCCACAGUGCCGGAGUGCCUCAAGUUCAGCAAACACCCUCAAUACACUCUUUAGCCAGUGUGUGGGUACUAACUCCUCAAAAGGAAAAACAGCCUGGCACUGUUUUAGCAGAUGGUCCAGGAGCCACUGCUCUAGUUCUUCCUGAUGGCGAUACCAUGCCUUUCUAUCUUCCCAUCAACAGGUUAUCACGCCGGCAUCUGGAAGUUGCCGUUGGAAUGUUGCCUCUUGCUGACCAUGACAGAUGCCCUUGAUCUACAAGACCAUCCAGCCUCCCAUGUAAAUACAUGGAUUUGGCUGGCACAAAGAUCAGCUAACCUCUCUGCUUUCUGUGUUGCAGGCGAACGAUCAGUGGAUGAUGUCUUAACUGCGUGUUACAUAGGUGUACCAGCUCCACUCGUGGUAUUGCAGAGUUAUACAAAAAAUUGAUAUUUCUGUUACUCCCAUGAAUUUCUACGAUUUGGGUAUUGUUUCCCAAAAGCUGACACCUUGGGCUUACUCUUUCCAUAUAGCUAACAUAUCUAAAGCAGAUACUUGCUUUCGCUUUGUAAAUGCUGCCUCUGUUCUGCAGAAUGUAACUGAUAUGCAGUUAAUUUGUAAUGACACUAUGGAUGUUACCUAUGCAUCUGCUUAUCUCAUACUACCACUAGGAUGGUUCCUUCUGUGUGGCACUACAGCAUAUACAUAUGUGCCGGCUGAUGCCAGAGGUGUGUAGGUCGUGUUACUUUAAGCAUCCCUCCCUUUAUGAUGGAGCGGCGGAGGACCCGGUGGCAUAUCCUAAGACGCUGCUUGUAACCCCCAUAUAAGUUUAUUUUCUCAUGCAGAAGCUCUAGGCCUAUUGUGGAGCCUAGCUGGGAUCCCGGGGGUGGUGGCACAUGAUUGCAAACAGUUAGAGCAUGUUACCUGUGCUUUGGCUCAAAGCUUAAACUGGCCAUCCAGAGCCAUUGCCUCUUUAAAUAGGGAGUUGGGAGCAGUGUAGCAAGGAACACUGCAAAACCACCUAGGGAUUGACUGUCUCCUACUGCGAGAUAACCACAGACACCAUGACUUCGCCAGGAUGUGCUGUCUCAACAUCACCGAUGAAUUGGCAUCUAUUGAGAAUAUCAGCCACCUCAUACAGGGAGGACUCCUGUCUAUCUCUUGCUUUGUAUUAUGCUAUGUUUUGAUUUCAUUACUUUGUAAACUCUCUUGCCCUCAUACCCCAUGCCCUUCUGAGGAUUGGGACGGCCUGUAACUAGCUUUCCAUCGCGGGGGUGGAGUGUAUGGGAAAGUGCGGAAGAACGUCGAGGAGAUAGGCGAUGGAAGCUAGCCAGACCCUUCCGUGGGAAAAGGAGCAUCAACAGGGCAUGUUGACCCAUAGUCACGUGGUUCAGCCUGUGCCAGGGUGGCGCUGCACCUGGGCUUUGAAUCGGGAAUAACAGUGAGCUCAACAUGCUUACUGCGCAUGUGUAUGGUACAUAAAAACUUCAUCUAGUGCCCCCCCCCCCAUAGUGUUCCUCACCCUGGACCGAUGCUCAGCGGUGCCAGGGAUCCCCCGCUCCAUUAUUGCCUCGAUCGGGAAAACGCCGGGGAACCCCUGUUCAGAUGCAGAGAUAAUAAAUGCUCCAUAUCGAC